rfam:Puccinia sorghi strain RO10H11247 Scaffold_1189, whole genome shotgun sequence.
GAAUACUUAGCUCAAUGGUUAGAGCAUCACUCAUGAAUGCUGAGGUUGUGAGUUUGAUUCCCACAAUACACA